rnacentral:rRNA from 1 species
UACGGAGGGUGCAAGCGUUGUCCGGAUUUAUUGGGUUUAAAGGGUGCGUAGGCGGCCAUUUAAGUCUGGGGUGAAAGCCCGUUGCUCAACAACGGAACUGCCCUGGAAACUGGAUGGCUUGAGUACAGACGAGGGUGGCGGAAUGGAUGCUGUAGCGGUGAAAUGCAUAGAUAGCAUCCAGAACCCCCGAUUGCGAAGGCAGCUGCCUAGACCUGUAA